CUUCUGUUUCCCUGCUGGUUUUUGUUUUGUGCCUAAUUGCCUUAAAUUUUCAGUAAAACCAAGAGAAGCAAAAGAGGAAUAGGAGCCAAAAUGUCCUUUUGCCAGUUAAUUUCAUUUAAGUUGUAUUGUUUCUUUAUAAUUAGCUCGAAGAGUCUGAUUACUUAAACUUCAAAUUAGUUUUGUUCCUGUACAUGACAUUUACUGUUUUGUUUUCUUUUCCUUUUUCAGUUUUUGAUCACUGAUUAAUGAUUACAGUAUGUUGUACACACUGAUUGAUGCCUCAUUCCUUUUCCAGCAGAGUUUAGGAAAGUAAUUUUGGCCUCAUCUGUUGGAAUACAAAGUUUAUGCAAUUUCUAGUACCACUUACCGAGGGAUUUGAAAGAAGGACAGCAUCGCUUUCUCGUAUCAUGAGAAGGCUUGUUAAAUCCUCCUCAAGUGAGUGCUAGUCAUAACUAGAAUCAACUUUAUGACAAGGAACUCAACUCUGAGGCAGAUGAAACUUCUUUCACUAUCUAUAUCGGUUCUUCUCUGAAAUCUCCUUGGUUAUAAGCCUCUGUCGCUAUCUGAUAUCCGACCUUGCAAUUUUCCCUCUUUGUGAUUAAAUCAUUUUAAAGAUAUGUUGAAAUGUUCCUCUUUCGGAAUAAGAUCAUCUCAAACAGUAUAUUAUCAAAUUGCUAUAACACGAUAACAGCAUUCCUUUCUUUUUUAUACAUGUGUUAGUACAGUGGUAGUCCGUACCAUGCCGAUGGUAUGAACUGAUCUUCCAUUGGCUGGUGUGGGCCAUUAUGCAAUGUGACAAUUCUUAAUUUUCGUUAGUGUCAUGUACCAGCAGGUUUUCUUUCAAUUGAACUUAAUUCUUGUUUCUUCUUGAAUUUUGUAGAUAUAUCUUUGAAAGUUCUUAGAUUGGCUGUUCUUUUGUCUAUAUGAAAGAAGUAUUGACAUGAAAUUCUCUAGUUUCAUGACUUUGUCCUUUUAGAUACAAGAAAAAGGCCACAACACAAGCAUCCAUGAUGGAUUUCUUCCACUCAAUACUAUGAUAACAGCCAAGAAAUUAUCUUAUUGCAAUCAAUUGCAAUUAUUGUGUUACAUUGGGAUGGGAAAGAGGUUUAUGGUCUGCUUUCUGUUUCAUAUGGGGCACAUGCCUUUCCAAGUGAGCAUCAGCCAUGCGUAGGCUCUAGUGAGAGAGAAGAUGUCUAUUUCAAGAACAUCAUGGUUUUCCUUCUACAUUCAGAUUUGGUUCAGAUAUAGAGCACUUUUUGAAAUUAAGAAGGCUGAUUUAUUUGGACAAAUUAUAUGGCAUUUUGUGAACCUUUUCUGACCUGAUCUUUGAUUUGUAAGCAAACCAAAUUUACUUAAAAGAAGGAACCCAAAAGUGUAGCUGGCUAGUUCUAGAUCCUACUGCUAAAUUUCUUUAAGUGAUUGAUGAAUGUCUGCUAUGGGAAGCGAAGGUGUUGACCAUGGCUUACAGUCAUGUUUAAUUCAUGGCUUUUACAUCUUAAUCCUAUAUUUGGCUGUUUUUUAAAACCCACCAAAUCACCUUCAUUUGUGAGUGGUAGUAUCUUGACCAUCUUAUAACGCUAUUUUGUUAAACUUCUUCAUUCUUUAAUGGUACCUGA